rnacentral:lncRNA from 1 species
GGAGUUCUACUCUUACAAUACCCACUGAGAUCCACGAUGGCUAACCACAAUGAAAACAAUCUUGUCAACACCCCUAAUGACCUGAGCUCCGCUCAGGAGGGACAACAGUUCUCUUUUUCCAGUCCCAUAACCCCAAACAACCAAACACCAAUUCCCUUCAACCCCUCACCAAGCUUGGCAGGGAACGUGCCUGGAGCUGCUCUAUCCAAC